UCAAUGUCAACUCAAGCAAAAUUGGGAGCAAGUGAUACACACCCAUUUAAAAACCAAGCUGAGAAUGGAGUUUUACCUCUUCCCAAAAUAUCAAACAGAGGAAAUUAGAAAGGAGACUCUUCUGACAGAACUUACCCCUGAGAGUGAUGUCGAUGAGCUACAGGAGAAGCUGGCAGCUUUCCCCACAGAGUUGGACACACACAGGCUCAGGACUCAGAAGUGAAGAAAGAUUCCGUGGGGUUGGAAGAGCUGCAGGCCUGGAUGAAGUCCCCAGAAACAAGUGACCGUGGAAACAUCCUGCUGAGAUGGAGAAACUGUGACUCGCUCUGUCUGCAUCCCUGAGCUUUCACCUGGAAAAGGCACUGACCUUGUGUGUCGAAGUCUGCAGACUUUCAUUUUGGAGAUAUAUUUCACUCUGAAUAGUGAAUCAGAGUGGGGUGAAACAUCUGGCUUAUAAAAUGUUUCAAACCUCAAACCACUUUAGAUACUUGGAAAUCAUCUUCUCCACACAUUUAUUAUAAAACAGGAAGAGACCCAGAAAAAAUGCCACUCUGUUUUGAAGAUGGAAAGUAAGUGUCAUUGAUGUAAAAUUCUUGGAUUUCUUUUGUGUAGUUGUAGACUGUGAUUGCCAGUAUAUGGUCCACAAAGUUGUUGGUCAUUUUGUAAAUUUAAAAUUUGCCAGUUAGGCCUAAAAAUCAUCUCCCACAUGUGAUGGCAAGCCUAGAGGUGGUCGGCCCAUGCUUGCCCCUUUUGUCUCUCUGCUCAGCCAGCUUAGUCUGUGCUGUCCACCCCCAUGCUGAUCACCAAAUGGUCACUCUGUGGUGCUCCAGU
rnacentral:lncRNA from 1 species